AUUGAACGCUGGCGGCAUGCCUUACACAUGCAAGUCGAACGGUAACAGGUCUUCGGAUGCUGACGAGUGGCGAACGGGUGAGUAAUACAUCGGAAACGUGCCCGAGAGUGGGGGAUAACGCAGCGAAAGCUGUGCUAAUACCGCAUACGAUCUACGGAUGAAAGCAGGGGAUUCGCAAGGACCUUGCGCUCAUGGAGCGGCCGAUGGCAGAUUAGGUAGUUGGUGGGAUAAAAGCUUACCAAGCCGACGAUCUGUAGCUGGUCUGAGAGGACGACCAGCCACACUGGGACUGAGACACGGCCCAGACUCCUACGGGAGGCAGCAGUGGGGAAUUUUGGACAAUGGGGGAAACCCUGAUCCAGCCAUGCCGCGUGCAGGAUGAAGGCCUCGGGUUGUAACUAGCUUUGUACGGUAACGAAAAGGUACGUUUUCUUAAUUAAAGAAAGGACCCGACUGACGGUACCGUAAGAAUAAGACACCGGCGUAACUACGUGCCAGCAGCCGCGGUAAACCG
rnacentral:rRNA from 1 species